CUCCCAGUGUGUCUGAGAUGUUUCUGAGGGCAGAGACAGGGAUGUUUCCCUUCACCUCAGAGAUUUGCCUCUUGAUGUCUUCAAGCUGCUGCUUCACAUCUGAGGGAGAAGGAUGAAUAUACCUCUAGACACUGAUCCAAGCAGGUCUGCCACCAGGGGGAGACUCGUCGAGGUCUUGUGACAGACGGAGUACACAUCACAAGGCGAUGGCUCCCUCUGCUGGACGUGCCAGGUCUCGACGGGCUCUCUGGCCAGGACUAAUUGGGGCUGGAUACAGCAAGACCCGGAGCCCAGAAGACGGUAUCCCGGAGAGGGUCUCAUGGGGGAGACCUGUUCUUUUCUUUUGAACUAUUAUUUUAAUAAAACACCUUUUGAAACUGAG